rnacentral:rRNA from 1 species
ACAGGAUUAGAUACCCUGGUAGUCCAUGCCGUAAACGUUGGGCACUAGGUGUGGGGACAUUCCACGUUCUCCGCGCCGUAGCUAACGCAUUAAGUGCCCCGCCUGGGGAGUACGGCCGCAAGGCUAAAACUCAAAGGAAUUGACGGGGGCCCGCACAAGCGGCGGAGCAUGCGGAUUAAUUCGAUGCAACGCGAAGAACCUUACCAAGGCUUGACAUGCACCGGACGGCUGCAGAAAUGUGGCUUUCUUCGGACUGGUGCACAGGUGGUGCAUGGUUGUCGUCAGCUCGUGUCGUGAGAUGUUGGGUUAAGUCCCGCAACGAGCGCAACCCUUGUUCCAUGUUGCCAGCGCGUUAUGGCGGGGACUCAUGGGAGACUGCCGGGGUCAACUCGGAGGAAGGUGGGGACGACGUCAAAUCAUCAUGCCCCUUAUGUCUUGGGCUUCACGCAUGCUACAAUGGCCGGUACAAUGGGUUGCGAAACUGUGAGGUGGAGCGAAUCCCAAAAAGCCGGUCUCAGUUCGGAUUGGGGUCUGCAACUCGACCCCAUGAAGUCGGAGUCGCUAGUAAUCGCAGAUCAGCAACGCUGCGGUGAAUACGUUCCCGGGCCUUGUACACACCGCCCGUCAAGUCACGAAAGUCGGUAACACCCGAAGCC